UGGGGAAUAUUGCACAAUGGGCGAAAGCCUGAUGCAGCGACGCCNCGUGAAGGAUGAAGUAUUUCGGUAUGUAAACUUCUAUCAGCAGGGAAGAAAAUGACGGUACCUGACUAAGAAGCCCCGGCUAACUACGUGCC
rnacentral:rRNA from 1 species